rnacentral:RNase_P_RNA from 1 species
UAUGGUGGAUAGUCGCGGCUUCUGCUAUUGCAGGGGUCGAGGAAAUUCGAGACACGCCCAGCUCUGCUUUGAAGCAGGACUGGAGUAUGGUGCCUAGUGCAAACUAGGGCAGGGCGACCUGACGACGGCAAAAGCAUCUCUUAGGAGAGGUAAGUAGCCAUAAAGUGCCACAGAAACGAUAUCCUCCGGCGACGGAGGAGUGCAAGGGUAAACUCCACUAGCGUGCAACCCAAAUAGGCGACAAUGUCGCGGGUAGGGGCACUCGCUACGGCGAGAAGUAAAGUUUUCUUUAGAAAGCUUUGUUUAGACAAAUGACUAUCCAUCGGCUUUAGCCGGGGACAGAAUCUCGAUUACAGCC